UGUCCCAUGGCUUAGUUGGUUACGGCGUCCGACUGUUACAUACUGAAUCCAAAGGCGAUGAAGUUAUCGGAAGAUAGAGAGUUCGAGUCUCUCUGGGACAG